UAGUAUUGAACGCAUUAUGUUUUCGUUAGAACAUAAGCUGUAUCAAUGACGUUUACAGUUAUAAAACAAUGACUGUGCAUUUUAAAUAUAUGUAUUUAUUGCGCGGUCAGAAAAUAAAACGUAUUGGAUAAUUGGAUCACGCUAGCCAAACAUUUUCUUAGGAACAAAUUGAUAUUGAGGAUUUUCUUGUAAAAAUGGUUGAAGAUGUUUAUUAUAAUAUCAAAUAAUCAUAGAGCUUUGUAUUUUAGUUACUGACAAUUAAAAGGUCACCGAAAUACCCCUGUACGCGAGCAAACCUCCUUGCACGAGCGAAAUAGAUCAACCAGAGCAGCAGGAUGCACAGCAAUACUCAAUCGAACAUGGGCAGCAGAGCUUACCUGGUACAAGUCAUAGAGAAGAUUGUGGCAUUCCGGAUGUAAAGUAUCCUGCACGACAUUUCGUAAGAAAAAUCGUAGAUUAAAUAUUAAAUCUAUCUACUCGUAAAAAUCCGUAAGGUAAUCCGAGGUAUUUCGGCUGAUUUUUAAUUAUCAAUAACUAAAAAACAAAGCCAAAAAUGCAAUUUUCUUUUCAUCCUUAAUUUUUAUCUUAUUUUAAGUUCAAGAAUCACCUGUUAAACUUUCUACACCUGUAGCUGAACUCUCUAUAUACAGCGUAGCCAACGAACUCUGUCCACUUGAAAUAUGUUUGUCGUUUCAAACAAUAUGCGAAAAUAUUUCUAGCAGAAGAUACGGGAUUUAAAGGAAUACACAACAUGGUAAUAACGGUUUCUUGACAAGUUAUUUGACAAGAUUUCGUCGCAAUACACAAAAUUCCUUAUGAUAGAUUUAUUUUAGCGUCUAUGAUACACGAAUUAUACAUAUUUAUAUAUAUUAUUAGUACAAUCUUACAGAAUUCGGUAAAGAUUCUAGUAUAAACAUCGUAUCAUCGAAUGAAAUUUUUAAUUCCUACAGGUAACUAUAGAUACAUAUACAGUCGUAGUUUCGUAGUUAUUCUUUUCCAUUCAUGUGUGUCAACGAAUUAAACAUAUCUCUCGAAGCUGAAUCGCCUCUUCUUCAUUCUUAUAUAUAUAUAUAUAUAUUAUAUAUAUAUAUAUGAUCAGGAUUAUCGUAGAGAUAUCUCGAAUUUCAUGAUUGACUUCUAUAAAUUACUUGCUCCUCUCGGGAUGACAUAUUAAGAUUAACUCAUAUACACCAUGUCAUUUAAACAUAAUUGCAUUGCUUAAUAUAAAUUAGUACAUCAAUACCUUCGCAAAACAUUCAACUC